ACAAUGACAACUUGCUGCCAGAAAGGCUCAUAAGAGAGGAAGUCAACGCUUACCCACAAUCCUCUGCGGUGCUAAAGUGACCUCUGCUGCUAACUCCCAGCCGUUAAAGUCGUAAAGUCAUGGCUCCUCCGGUUGCGGUGUCUCCGUUGAUUAAGACUGCCAGGUAUUCAGCGUUGAUUGUUGGCGUCUUGUAUGGCAAAAUGAGAUAUGCCAAACUGAAGCCUAUUGCGGCCGAGGAGCGGAGGAUCGAAGAAGAGGAGAAGAAGAUCCACGAGGAGCAGGAGCGCAUCGCCAAGCAGCUUGCAGAAGCAAAUGAAGAAACCAUCCUGAAAUAGACCUUCACUUCCAGGACAAUUUUCAUUCUAGAGUAACUCCAACAACAUCCAUGCUGGGUCAUUCACUCACCCUGGAUGUGGAGAAGUAUUUUAUUCCUGCUUGUUAGAAACCCUCAUAUGGAUUCAUGUCUCUGGAACUGUAAAUAUUAAGUUCAGACUUGGUAAUAAAUCAUGUCGUUAACAAAUGUAUGUAAUAA